GCCGGGCGUGGUGGUGGGCACCUGUAAUCCCAGCUACUCUGGAGGCUGAGGCAGGAGAAUUGCUUGAACCCAGGAGGCAGAGGUUGCAGUGAGCCGAGAUCGCGCCAUUGCACUCCAGCCUGGGUGACAGAGCAAGAUUCUGUCUCAA
ensembl:misc_RNA Metazoa_SRP Metazoan signal recognition particle RNA